rnacentral:rRNA from 1 species
GUUUGAUCCUGGCUCAGAGCGAACGUUAGCGGCAGGCUUAAACACAUGCAAGUCGAGCGACAAAGGGGCUUCGGGCCCUGAGUAGAGCGGCGGACGGGUGCGUAACACGUGGAUAAUCUGCCUCGUGGCGGGGGAUAACAGUCCGAAAGGACUGCUAAUACCGCAUGUCAGGUCGGAAACCCCGGUUUCUGACGAAAAAGAGGGCGCCCCGCAAGGGGCUCUCACCACGAGAUGAGUCCGCGGCCCAUCAGCUAGUUGGCGGUGUAAUAGACCACCAAGGCUAAGACGGGUAGCUGGUCUGAGAGGAUGACCAGCCACACUGGGACUGAGACACGGCCCAGACUCCUACGGGAGGCAGCAGUGGGGAAUAUUGGACAAUGGGCGAAAGCCUGAUCCAGCCAUGCCGCGUGAGUGAUGAAGGUCUUCGGAUCGUAAAGCUCUGUGGGAGGGACGAAAAAGGCCUAACCUAAUACGUUAGGUCUUGACGGUACCUCUUAGCAAGCACCGGCUAACUCCGUGCCAGCAC